rnacentral:tRNA from 6 species
UCGGGAUAGCUCAGCUGGUAGAGCAGAGGACUG